UCCUUACAUUUUUAUCACUGUUGGGUUUUUAACCCUGUGAAUGCUGGAUGACGAGUAUUAGCCGCUUCAGGGCUCCUAUCAGAGAGCACGAGUCACCA